UGCUAACGGAGAAGAGCUCUGCAGCCUAGAGCAGGUGGAUACUGGAAAGGACCACACCGAGCAGCAGAAUGAAGCAGAGAUCCACAACUGGCUUAGUUAU